rnacentral:rRNA from 1 species
GAUGAACGCUGGCGGCGUGCCUAAUACAUGCAAGUCGAGCGAACAGACGAGGAGCUUGCUCCUCUGACGUUAGCGGCGGACGGGUGAGUAACACGUGGAUAACCUACCUAUAAGACUGGGAUAACUUCGGGAAACCGGAGCUAAUACCGGAUAAUAUAUUGAACCGCAGGGUUCAGUAGUGAAAGACGGUUUUGCUGUCACUUAUAGAUGGAUCCGCGCCGCAUUAGCUAGUUGGUAAGGUAACGGCUUACCAAGGCAACGAUGCGUAGCCGACCUGAGAGGGGGAUCGGCCACACUGGAACUGAGACACGGUCCAGACUCCUACGGGAGGCAGCAGUAGGGAAUCUUCCGCAAUGGGCGAAAGCCUGACGGAGCAACGCCGCGUGAGUGAUGAAGGUCUUCGGAUCGUAAAACUCUGUUAUUAGGGAAGAACAAAUGUGUAAGUAACUAUGCACGUCUUGACGGUACCUAAUCAGAAAGCCACGGCUAACUACGUG